GAAGGCCUUCGGGUUGUAAACCUCUUUCAGCAGGGAAGAAGCGAAAGUGACGGUACCUGCAGAAGAAGCACCGGCUAACUACGUGCCAGCAGCCGCGGUAAUACGUAGGGUGCGAGCGUUGUCCGGAAUUAUUGGGCGUAAAGAGCUUGUAGGCGGUUUGUCGCGUCUGCUGUGAAAAUCCGGGGCUCAACCCCGGACUUGCAGUGGGUACGGGCAGACUAGAGUGUGGUAGGGGAGACUGGAAUUCCUGGUGUAGCGGUGAAAUGCGCAGAUAUCAGGAGGAACACCGAUGGCGAAGGCAGGUCUCUGGGCCAUUACUGACGCUGAGAAGCGAAAGCAUGGGGAGCGAACAGGAUUAGAUACCCUGGUAGUCCAUGCCGUAAACGUUGGGAACUAGGUGUGGGUCUCAUUCCACGAGAUCCGUGCCGCAGCUAACGCAUUAAGUUCCCCGCCUGGGGAGUACGGCCGCAAGGCUAAAACUCAAAGGAAUUGACGGGGGCCCGCACAAGCGGCGGAGCAUGUGGAUUAAUUCGAUGCAACGCGAAGAACCUUACCAAGGCUUGACAUAUACCGGAAACAUCUGGAGACAGGUGCCCCGCAAGGUCGGUAUACAGGUGGUGCAUGGUUGUCGUCAGCUCGUGUCGUGAGAUGUUGGGU
rnacentral:rRNA from 2 species